GGCGUGGUGGCAGAGUGGUCUAACGCGCAUGACUCGAAAUCAUGUCUCUUCGGAGGCGUCGGUUCAAAUCCGGCCCACGUCG
rnacentral:tRNA from 1 species